AUUGAACGCUGGCGGCAGGCCUAACACAUGCAAGUCGAACGAGUGGCGGACGGGUGAGUAAUGUCUGGGAAACUGCCUGAUGGAGGGGGAUAACUACUGGAAACGGUAGCUAAUACUGCAUACCAUCAGAUGUGCCCAGAGGGGAUUAGCUUGUUGGUGGGGUAACGGCUCACCAAGGCGACGAGCCCUACCUGGGCUGCGAGGCUGACCAGCCACACUGGAACUGAGACACGGUCCAGACUCCUACGGGAGGCAGCAGUGGGGAAUAUUGGGCAAUGGACGCAAGCCUGAUGCAGCCAGGCCGCGUGAAUGAAGAAGGCCUGCGGGUUGUAAAGUACUUUCAGCGGAGAGGCGUUACCCGCAGAAGAAGCACCGGCUAACUCCGUGCCAGCAGCCGCGGUAAUAC
rnacentral:rRNA from 1 species